CCAAAUGUUGCAUGGGACGUAUUUAUACUAAAAAAGUAAUUUGUUGUUGAUCUGAAAUUCCAGUGUAACUGGGCACCCUGGAUUUUAUCUGGCGAUCCUGGGCGGGAGUGGGGAGGAGGGGAAGAGCUGGAGGAGAUGAGUCAGCAGAGAGCAGAGGCCUGGCAGGCCAGGGGAGGCGGCUGGAUUUUAUUCUAAGGGUCGUGGUUAAGCGGGGCCUCAGCCUCCAGCCUGGUCCAGGUGCUAACUGGGUGGGCGUUCUUUGCUUAAUGAGGGAAGCGUCUGUCAGGGACCCCAGAACAAGCGAUUCAAGUCACCCACGUUAUGAAGAGCCCUCCAAAGGAUGACUCAUCCCAAGUAGCAGACAAGAGAGCUGGCGCUGCAUCAUGCUCUCGGGAGGCGAAACCAUCCCUUAUAGACACGGAGGGACCCUGUCCUGGAGGAGAGGGAGGGAAGAAUCAAGUUGAGGACAGGACACGGAGAACUGCGGGCCAGAGGGAGGCCAGGCCCCUCGGCAGAAGCUGCCCUGACGUGGGCUCCGCUGGCUGCUCAGACGCAGGGCUCAGAAGGAACGGAGGAACGAACGAAGGAAUGCGGGCUCUUUGGCAAACCCCUUCCUUUUUGAGCAGGGCUAUUUUAAGACUUCCGAUAGGUCCUGUUUUGGCAUAUCCACACCGCGUCACAUCAAACAUAUUAAAUGGCACCCACGUGCCUCAUUAAAUAGAAUUUGUGUACAACCAUACAAGAGCUGAGUUGAGCCACACUUGACAGUUGACUAAUGCUACGUCCUGUGGACAUUUAAUUAAACGUCCGUUCGUGUUGACGUCUCAGUGUGCUGUUUUCCUCCCUCCCCCCUCCCAUCUCAGACAGGUCCUGGGGCCCCUGACGGGGGCUGCAGAUGCUGUGCACCCGGGCUCUCAGGGAGGAGGCCUGGGCUCGGGCCCCAGGCUUCCCAUCUGUAGGAGGGGGCCGUUGGUGGGGUGGCGUCUGCUGUGCUUGUCCCCUACAGGGAGGACUAUUGAAGCUGCCCCUCCUUCAGUCGUUGUGGUGACAACGAGAGUCCCUCAGGAGGACGCUGUGCCAUGACUCAUGUGACCUCACUGAAUCUCGAGGCCUCCAGCGCCCCUCAGCAGGCGGUACUCUUAUCCCCAUGUCACAGAUGAAAAGGCAGAGACGGGGGUCAGGACCAGCCCUGUGGGGCCCAACACACCCAAGACCAAGUCCACAAGGGUGUCUGAGGGGUGUGGACAGAAACGCAUUGAGCAACACGGAGCGACAGGGAAGAAGGACCUCCUUGUCUGCGUCUCUUUCAAUUCGGCGACGCUGCGAAGGAGAAGGGCCCAGCGAGGUGCUGAGAGCUCUCGAACACUCCCCAGAACUUGCCAGUGUCGAAGGAGCAGGCUUCAAACGCUCAGGGCGCAGCGCCAGCAGUUUCUGAUGAGAAAUCCACAUCUUUUCCAUCCUAUUUUAUUUCAUGCAUUACCUUCUGAUUAUGGCAAGUGAUACGAAGUUUCAUUUCAGACCACAUAGCUUUUGGUAAGGAAACUUAAAGAUAAUUUUGUGGAAAAAACGUUAUUUAAAGAAAAAAAUGAAAUAUACGUUUGGCGAGUACUUAGCAACAGCAAAAUUCACGAAGGCAGCAUGGAUGCCCUUAUUUGGGGUUGCAUCAAAGUGACUGUCAUUGACACGGUGUGUGACCUCAGACAAGUCACUUCCCCUC
rnacentral:lncRNA from 1 species